GAUUAGCGUCCAUGGGAUUCACUCUAGUCUCGUUACAGGCGCAGACAUAACAAGAGAAAGAGUUAUUAAUAGAGAGUAAUUAGACGUUCCACCGUGUAUUCACCUCGGUAAGAGACUCGGGAACGGCAUCUCCCCUCAGGAGUUCAGCAAAUUGAAGGAAGUGAAAGAAGAAGCGCCUUCUAUUGUUCUCAACACCUAACGUGAUGUCUUCUUGGACCUCUGAAUGCCACCAUCUGCCUCAUGAGUGGAUAUUUCUGCAGCCUCCACUGUGUGGAGUUCUUCUGGUCAUCAUUUCUUCUGAAUUUCCAUCUCUGGAGAUCAUCUACAGAAAUAUACUGGGAGCAAGGGGAUUCCAAA